rnacentral:rRNA from 1 species
UCAAGCUACUAAGGGCAUACGGUGGAUGCCUAGGCGCCAGGAGCCGAAGAAGGACGCGGUAAGCUGCGAAAAGCCACGGGGAACUGCAAGCGAGUAUUGAUCCGUGGAUAUCCGAAUGGGGAAACCCGGCCAUCGUAAUGGAUGGUCAUCCGCAAGGAAGGGAACCCGGGGAACUGAAACAUCUAAGUACCCGGAGGAAAAGAAAUCAAACGAGAUGCCCACAGUAGCGGCGAGCGAAGAGGGCAGAGCCCAAACCUGUAAGCUACGGCUUAUGGGGGUUGAGGACUGACGUAAUUAAGGCCAGGCUUAGCUGAACUACCUGGGAAGGUAGGCGAUAGAAGGUAAGAGCCCUGUAAGCGAAAGGCAGAGCCUUAAGGUCAGGAUCCAGAGUACCACGGAGCACGAGGAAUUCUGUGGGAAGCAGGGGGGACCACCCUCCAAGGCUAAAGACUAACUGGCGACCGAUAGCGCAUAGUACCGUGAGGGAAAGGUGAAAAGAACCCCGGGAGGGGAGUGAAAUAGUACCUGAAACCGUAUGUCUACAAGCAGUCGGAGCGAAAGCGACGGCGUGCCUAUUGAAGAAUGAACCAACGAGUUAUCUGCACUAGCGAGGUUAAGUGGAAGACACGGAGCCGUAGCGAAAGCGAGUCUGAAAAGGGCGGAUAGUUAGUGUAGGUAGACCCGAAACCGCAGUGAUCUACCCAUGUCCAGGUUGAAGCGCAGGUAAAAAUGCGUGGAGGACCGAACCGGUGAGCGUUGAAAAGCUUUCGGAUGAGAUGUGGGUAGGGGUGAAAUUCCAAUCGAACGCGGAGAUAGCUGGUUCUCCCCGAAAUAGCUUUAGGGCUAGCCUCAGGUAGUAAGUAUAGGCGGUAGAGCACUGAUCGGGCUAGGGGCCAUAAAGGUUACCGAACCCUGUCAAACUCCGAAUGGAUAUACUGCAGAGCCUGGGAGUCAGACUACGAGUGAUAAGAUCCGUGGUCAAAAGGGAAACAGCCCAGACCACCGGCUAAGGUCCCAAAUGCCGUACUAAGUGGAAAAGGAUGUGGGGAUUCAUAAACAACCAGGAUGUUGGCUCAGAAGCAGCCACCAUUUAAAGAGUGCGUAAUAGCUCACUGGUCGAGAGUCCCUGCGCCGAAAAUUUCCGGGGCUAAAGUACGGAACCGAAGCCGUGGCUGUGCAUGUAAGUGCACGGGGUAGGGGAGCGUUGCCACAGGGGUGAAGCUGGUCUGGAAGGACUGGUGGACUUGUGGGAAGUGAGAAUGUUGGUAUGAGUAGCGAAAAGAAAGGUGAGAAUCCUUUCCACCGAAAGCAUAAGGAUUCCUGAGCAACGAUCGUCGUCUCAGGGUAAGUCGGGACCUAAUCCGAGGCAAAGAGCGUAGGAGAUGGACAACAGGUUGAUAUUCCUGUACCGGCAGCAAUUGUUUGAGCGAAGGAGUGACACAGAAGGGCAGGCAGGCGCGAGACUGGAUUGUCGCGUGCAAGCGUGUAGGGUAGUGUACAGGCAAAUCCGUACACUGAAAGCCUGAGGCGUUACGCGGAGCGAGCAGAGAUGCGAGCGAAGCUGCUGAUCCCACACUGUCGAGAAAAGCUUCUAGUGAGAGAGCUGCCGCCCGUACCGUAAACCGACACAGGUAUGCGGGGAGAGAAUCCUAAGGUGCGCGGGAGAACCCUCGUUAAGGAACUCGGCAAAAUGUACCCGUAACUUCGGGAUAAGGGUAGCCGUCUUGGUGAAGGAGCUUGCCUCUGGAGCUAAAGGCGGUCGCAGAGAAGAGGCCCAAGCGACUGUUUACCACAAACACAGGUGCCUGCUAAAGCGAAAGCUGACGUAUAGGUGCUGACACCUGCCCAGUGCUGGAAGGUUAAGGAAGGAUGUCCGGGCAACCAAAGCAUUCGACCGAAGCCCCAGUGAACGGCGGCCGUAACUAUAACGGUCCUAAGGUAGCGAAAUUCCUUGUCGGGUAAGUUCCGACCCGCACGAAAGGUGUAACGAUUUGGGCACUGUCUCAACGAGGGACCCGGUGAAAUUGAAAUACCUGUGAAGAUGCAGGUUACCCGCGACUGGACAGAAAGACCCCAUGGAGCUUUACUGUAACCUGACAUUGGGUUUUGUUGUAUUACGUACAGGAUAGGUGGGAGGCUUAGAAGGCUGGACGCUAGUCUGGCUGGAGCCGGCGUUGGGAUACCACCCUUGAUACAACGGAAUUCUAACCGAGAGAGUAACGAAAUCCGGGACAGUGUCAGGCGGGCAGUUUGACUGGGGCGGUCGCCUCCGAAAGAGUAACGGAGGCGC